GGAAAAUGCUAUCUGAUGCCACAGAUCCAGUUGAGUACUUGGUAUCGCGCUGGGGAACUGACCCAGAUUCCCUUGGAGCUUAUACCUGUGAUUUAGUUGGGAAACCAGCUGAUUUGUGCGAGAGGCUUGCUGCUCCUGUGGAUAACCUAUACUUCGCUGGGGAAGCGACUAGCGCUGAUCAUUCUGGGUCCGUUCAUGGUGCUUAUUCAUCGGGUCUCAUUGCUGCUGAAGAUUGUCGAAGGCAUCUGUCAAUGCGGCAUGGUAUUUCCGAUCUCUUAAAGAUUGCAAUGAGGGAAGAGUUGAGUGAGAUUAUGGUCCCCCUCCAAAUUUCGAGGAUGUAAUUUGGUUAGGAUAUUCUUUUGAAUCUUUUCGCACAGAUGUGUUGAAGUUUCCUUAGACAACC
rnacentral:misc_RNA from 1 species